GCCGGGCGUGGUGGUGCAUGCCUGUAGUCCCAGCUACUUGGGAGGCUGAGGUGGGAGGAUCGAUUGAGCCCAGGAGUUCCGGGCUGCAGUGCGCUAUGCCGAUCGAGUGUCCGCACUAAGUUCGGCAUCAAUAUGGUGACCUCCAGGGAGCGGGGGACCACCAGGUUGCCUAAGGAGGGGUGAACCUGCCCAGGGAAAAAACAGAGCAGGUCAAAACUCCCGUGCUGAUCAGUAGUGGGAUCGUGCCUGUCAAUAGCCACUGCACUCCAACCUGGGCAACAUAGCGAGACCCCAUCUCU
rnacentral:SRP_RNA from 1 species